GGGCCCGCACAAGCGGUGGAGCAUGUGGUUUAAUUCGAUGCAACGCGAAGAACCUUACCUACUCUUGACAUCCAGAGAACUUUCCAGAGAUGGAUUGGUGCCUUCGGGAACUCUGAGACAGGUGCUGCAUGGCUGUCGUCAGCUCGUGUUGUGAAAUGUUGGGUUAAGUCCCGCAACGAGCGCAACCCUUAUCCUUGUUUGCCAGCGAGUAAUGUCGGGAACUCCAGGGAGACUGCCGGUGAUAAACCGGAGGAAGGUGGGGACGACGUCAAGUCAUCAUGGCCCUUACGAGUAGGGCUACACACGUGCUACAAUGGCGCAUACAGAGGCGGCCAACUUGCGAAAGUGAGCGAAUCCCAAAAAGUGCGUCGUAGUCCGGAUUGGAGUCUGCAACUCGACUCCAUG
rnacentral:rRNA from 1 species